UCAAUCGAUAUUGAUGUAAUAGUAUAUCAGUAAAAUCGUAUACAUAUUACAAUAUUGAAUUCCUGAAAAAACUAUUGGUUGGCAAUUAUUUUUGCCUCAAAGUAGUUUAGCUUGCAUGUAAUUUCCUCUCUCUACUCUCUUUUAAAAACAGUUUAUAGUUUUAAAAUAUAUUUUGACACAACAUAAUUUAUUUAUUUAUUUAAUAAUAAUAAACAGGACGAGU